rnacentral:tRNA from 1 species
GGAGGCGUCGCAUAGCGGUUUAGUGCACCGGUCCUGAAAACCGGAGUGUCGCAAGGCACCGUGAGUUCGAAUCUCACCGCCUCCG